CACGUAGGGCGCGAGCGUUGUCCGGAAUUAUUGGGCGUAAAGAGCUCGUAGGCGGCCUGUUGCGUCCGCUGUGAAAGCCCCGGGGCUUAACCCCGGGUCGGCAGUGGAUACGGGCAGGCUAGAGGUAGGUAGGGGAGAAUGGAAUUCCCGGUGUAGCGGUGAAAUGCGCAGAUAUCGGGAGGAACACCGGUGGCGAAGGCGGUUCUCUGGGCCUUACCUGACGCUGAGGAGCGAAAGCGUGGGGAGCGAAACAGG
rnacentral:rRNA from 1 species